GGACUGGGUGACGGCGCUGCGCUGUGGGGCCCUGGAACGCUGCUCCCACCUCGCCCAGGGACAUCCCGAUGUGGAUGUCUGUGCCGUGUGUCAGCAGCUCUUUGACUUCCUCCACCAGGCUUCCAACCACUCGACUGUGGAGAAGCCCUGGCAGGUCUGUGCCACGCUGAAGCUGUGUCGCGGAGAGCCCGGCGCCGCCCC